GUAGGUGGCAAGCGUUGUCCGGAAUUAUUGGGCGUAAAGCGCGCGCAGGUGGUUCUUUAAGUCUGAUGUGAAAGCCUCCGGCUCAACCGGGGAGGGUCAUUGGAAACUGGGGAACUUGAGUGCAGGAGAGGAAAGUGGAAUUCCACGUGUAGCGGUGAAAUGCGUAGAUAUGUGGAGGAACACCAGUGGCGAAGGCGACUUUCUGGCCUGUAACUGACACUGAGGCGCGAAAGCGUGGGGAGCAAACAGGGAUUAGAUACCCUGGUAGUCCACGCCGUAAACGAUGAGUGCUAAGUGUUGGGGGGGUUUCCCGCCCCUCAGUGCUGCAGCUAACGCAUUAAGCACUCCGCCUGGGGAGUACGGUCGCAAGACUG
rnacentral:rRNA from 1 species